GCCCAAGAGAAAGAUCUUUAUCACAAUAUCACAAUCAAAAAUAAAAUUUAUUAAAAAGUAAUUGAUGGUUAAGGUCUAAAAUAAAAAGGAAAAGACUUGAGAAAACAAAUUAAUGGCUCAAAGAAAUACAAGACCCACCCCGGUCUGAACCCACCUUUCUAGAAUCCUAAUCCACCAACUUAAUUAGCAGAUAGAACUAGAAGAAACCUCCCGCCGCUACCUGUUCUUCACCGGUCAUCAGAGAGCAAAGCACAAGGACCAUCAGCCACCAUUUGAGAAACACAACUUCUCUAUGUUCAGCACUCAAAAAAAUAAACAGCACAUGCAAAUACAACAGAUCACUCCAACAAACAACCCAGCUGACCCAGAGUCGAAGGUUGUUCCACCAUGGAAGUCUCACCAAAUACACACAAAUAUUAAAAACAAACUGAAGAAUAGAGGCACCUUAUAGCCAAACCACUAGAGAACUGGAUCGAUUGAGCCAAAGAAAACGGAGAAGCCGCUAGAUUCCAUAACUGCAAGAGCCAAAGCUAAAGAGGAUCGAAAACGUACGGCUAAAAGAAGUAACCAGAAGGACCACAACCAAGAAGGGGGUUGGUGGACAGAGCUCCCUACACCCAUAAAUGCUUAAGGGUCACCAAGAGUUGCCCACCAGCGAAAAAGGAGACCCCCUUAAUGAUCAACUCCCCUCCAACAGAAACUGGUAGGUAUCGUCAAAUCUUCAAUAUGCAACUCACCUGCAAAACUAAAGAGACAAUAAAAGUGUCGCCGGAAAAAAAAUUUUCAGAUCAUUGUACGUUUCAAUGUGAAAAUUGCUUACAAAUAAAUAUAUAGUUGUGGUUGAUAUUUGCAUUUAAUAGAUUGUUGAAAAUAUUACUCCAAUGUACAAUGGAGUUGUACUUUUUUGUAAUAACAUGUUGCCACAUUAUUGCACCAAGGGCAGAUUGGUGAGGUGGUGUCUGGGGAGUUGAAAGUGCUCUUUAUGACUUUUGGACAAGGAAUGGGUUUUAUUUUUAAAAAUUUUAUUAUUUAGUUUUUCAAUUUUAUUACUAAUUAUAAUUUAAUCCUUUUCUCCCUAUUCUCUCUCCCUCCCUAAUAUUUUUAAAGGGAAAUUUUAUUAUUAGGUUUUCAAUUUUAUUACUAAUAAUGCAGAGCUAAUGGAAGAAAUGGCUAUUUGUGUGAGAUGAGAUAGAAUCAUUUUGAAUUACUUGUGAACCAUAAUAUUUGAAGGUCCGAUUCUGAUUUAAUAAUUUUAUCUGAUGCAAUAUUGUUUGAUUGAAAAAAUAUUACUAUUACUUUUAACAUUAAAAGAAUAAUAAAUUACAUUUUAAUUCUUUAAUUUUAAUAUAAGUAGCGGAUCGAUCUUUAUAUUUUUAAAAUCAAAUACUUAAAUUUUUCUAUAAUUAGUUUAUUUAAAUUAGAGCUCUCUCUAUAAAUUUUUACCACGUGAAAAUAUUUUUAUUAUACUUUUUAAAUUGAUAAACUAUAUUGGAUGCUUGAGUUUUAGUAUAAUUAAUAGAUCGAUUUUUAUAUUUUUAAAAUUAUACACUAAAAUCUAUCUAUAAUCAAUUCAUCCUUAUUUAUUAUAAUUUAAAUAUUUUGAUCCUUCAUUUUUUAUUUGAAAAAACACUUAAAUCUCCAUUAACUUUUAUAUAUAAUAUUUCAUUUAAUUAAUAUUUAACUUUUUUUGUUAUUCAAUUUUUAUUUAUUAAAAUACUUCAAUAUCUAUAAUUUCAAAACUUUUAAAAAAUACUUACAAUUUCACAUAUUCCUAAGCAGUACUAAAUAACUUUUAAAUAGAUUAUAAACAUUUUACAAAAUGUAUUUUAAAAAAAAGUAUAUAUUUUGAUCAUCUCUGAGUUUUAAUUAAUGUUUAUAAUGAAUGAAAUAACUGUAAUAUUAGACAGAUUAAAUAUAAAAAAAUUUAAAAAUUUAGUUUUAAAAAUACAAGAUCUGAUCCAUCAAUUACGCUAAAAUUUAGAAAUCAAAAUAUAGUUUACACAAUAUACAAUUCUUCACUAAGAAUGAUUUAAGUAUUUGUGAGGGUAUUUUAAGUAUUUGAAAUAUUUAUUCUCUCUUAGACCGGUUAUCUGACGGAAUUAUAAAUAGAAUAAACUCUAAUUUGGAUAGAUUGAUUAUAAAAAAUUUAAAUAUUCUAUUUUAGAAAUAGAUGAAUCGAUUCGUUAAUUAUAUUAAAAUUCAGAUAUUAAAAUAUAAUUUAUUUUUAAAAAAUUAAAAUUUUUAUUUUGAAAUUACCUAAAAAAAAGUGGAUACCUUUUAAAUUUUUUUCAUUUUUCUAAUAAUUAAAAUCAAUGGAGGGACAAUAUUAAUAAAUUUUUAAAAAUAUUUUAAUGUAUUUUUUUAAAAGCAUCCAGAAAUUAAUUAGUUAAAUUUCACUUGUAUCCUUAUUUGUUUUGUAACAAGUGAAUUUAUCUUUAGAUUUUAUCCUUUCUUUAUAAAAUAAAAUAAAAAACAAUUUUUAUUUACACUAUACAAAUUAUUAUUCAAUCUAGUAUCCUUUCUUUAAUUUACAAUAUUUAUUUUAAAUCAUAUAUACAUUCUUUAGCUUCUUCAUCUGUAUUAGAAUAAAACUCUGAUAAGUCUCAGUUGCCAUCACAUAACAAAAAAUUUUUCUUUUGAAAUAAUAAUAUUAUAGAAAGAAAAAAAAAAUCUUCAAACACAAUCCAUAAUCUUAAGAAAUAUAUAUGCCACAAUAAUUGAAGAUAUUUCCUCUCAUGAGUCAUGAUUACCGACAACUACCUUAGUAAUAACAGUGAAAAUAUUAAUAUGAAAAAAAAGAAGUUGGAGAGAAGAUCAACUCAAUUUUAAUUGCUCUGGUAUAUAUACACCUUUACUUAUAUAUAAUUCAGUCUAAAUAACAAUUUUCAAAUUUAUUAUAAAAUAUUUAUUUAAAACUGAUCCAUAUAAAUCAUUGCGAUUAUCCAUCGUUCCGUAAUGAAUACUGUUAAUAGUCUAAGACUGUUUGAGCAUCUUUAUCUCCACGACCACUGCAGUUUACAAUGACCUUGGAGCCAUUGGGUAAAGUAGGACAAAUUUUCUCUAGGAAUGCCAAAGCAUGAGAUGCCUCCAGAGAUGGAAUUAUACCCUCUAAUCUGCUAAGUCUUUUGCAUGCUGCAAACAAUAUUCAGCCAUUAUUAUAAUCCUUCCUUUAAUUUAUAGGAUUCUGAUAAUUAUUUCAAAUAUUAUAUAUACCUUCUACAGCUUCUUUAUCUGUAGCAGAAUAAAAUUCUGCACGUUCUGUGUCUUUAAGAAAGCUUAGCUCUGGACCAACUCCUGGGCAUUUUAGCCUGUAAAAGGUGGCAAAAAGUUAAUUAUGUGAUUAUCUGUUCAUGUUAUGUCUAUAGGAUGUUUAAUUACUUACCCCACACCAAUAGAAUGUGGUUCUGUUAUCUGGCCUUCAUCAUCCUGCAACAAGUAGCUCAUGGCUCCAUGGUAAACUCCCACUUCUCCUCUAGCCAGAGUGGCAGAAUGUUUCCCACUCUCCAAACCAAACCCAGCAGCCUCAACUCCUAUCAACCUCACAUCUUCAUCUCCUAUGAAUUCAUGGAAUAUCCCCAAUGCAUUAGAUCCACUCCCUACACAGGCAAUCACAACAUCUGGCUUUCCACCCCAUUUCUCCAUUGCUUGCCUCCUUGUUUCCUUUCCUAUCACUGACUGAAACUCGCGGACCAUGCUUGGACAUGGAUGAGGCCCCACCACAGUACCUGUCAAGUUAUAGGUUGUCUGUAAGUUUCCCACCCAUUCCCUGAUAGCUUGUGAGCUUGCAUCUUUAAAGUUUCCUUCCACACCUCUAACCUGAUACAAAGUAUACACAAAUUCAAUAACAUGCAGCUAGAUAGCUUAGAUGUCUAUGUGUAAGAGUGGGUACCUCAGCUCCCAAUAGUUUCAUCAAAAGUACGUUUGAGGAUUGUUUUUCCAUAUCUGAAGUGCCCAUGAAAACAAUACACUCUAAAGAAAGCUUGGCGCAUGCUGCCGCAGUUGCAACUCCGUGUUGUCCAGCCCCAGUGGCCGCCACAACACUUUUCAGACCCAUGCGUUUGGCAAUCAUUGCCUGAGCAAUCGCGUUAUUCAUCUUGUGUGCUCCACAAUGAUUAAGAUCUUCUCUCUUCAAGUAAAUAUCUGGUCCUUGUCCAUCUUCAUUCUUGUAAUGAUUCGUGAGCCGCUCAGCAAAGUACAGAGGAGUCUCCCUUCCCACGUAGUCUCUUAGUGCCGUCUCAAGUUCAUGCUGCAUGCGUAACAUGCAUAUUUCCCUUAAGUGGGUAAUCAUAGAACGUAAACUUAACUAAACCCUUAUGUUAAUUAACAAACCUGAAACUGAGUGUCAUGUAAAGCCCAGUUGAAUUCAGCUUCAAGCUCCUUCAAGCAUGCAAUAAGCGUCUCAGGCACGAACUUGCCGCCGAACCUUCCAAAUUUUCCAGAGAUUGUUGUUGGCACAUCAAUAGGAACUCGUUGUGUCCCUAUGACUUGUAUGUUGAGGUCCAAUAUUCUGGAGCUGGGGGAACUUUCCUUGGUCGAAAAUUGAGCAGAAACUACAUGGGAAUUUCUGGAUCUUCUCUUACAUGUCAUAAGCUCAAUGGCUGGACAUAAACCUUUUACUUGUCGAUCAAAGAAACAAGUUUGAAUUCUGCAAGCCAUGUCUCUCAGAAGAUAAAAUAAAGAGGAGAUUGUGUAUGUUUAAUGUUUAAUUUCUUGGAGGGGAUGCAUACUUAUGGAGUUAGCUAAGCCCAUCCCAUCACCGACCAUCUCAGUUUUGCUGUCCACAUGGACGACUUUCACGAAGACUAUUAAUUUCAACAUAUGGAUCUCAUUGCACUUUGAGUUUCACAUGUGAAUCUCAUUGCACCUUUCAAUUUCUUUAAAAAUUAUCUUUUUAAUGUGAAAAUUGUUUCCAAAUAAAUAUAAGUGGUUGAUAUUUGCA
rnacentral:lncRNA from 1 species